GCCAGGCAUGGUGGCAUGUGCCUGUAAUCCCAGUUACUUGGGAGGCUGAGGUAGGAGAAUCACCUGAGCCCAGGAGGUCGAGGCUGCAGUGAGCCAAGAUUGUGCCACUGCACUCUAGCCUGGGUGACAAAGUGAGACCCUGUUUCAA
rnacentral:SRP_RNA from 1 species